rnacentral:rRNA from 1 species
CAUUCACGGAGAGUUUGAUCCUGGCUCAGGACGAACGCUGGCGGCGUGCUUAACACAUGCAAGUCGAACGAUGAACCGCUUUCGGGCGGGGAUUAGUGGCGAACGGGUGAGUAACACGUGGGCAAUCUGCCCUGCACUCUGGGACAAGCCCUGGAAACGGGGUCUAAUACCGGAUACUCACUGCCUUGGGCAUCCAAGGUGGUGGAAAGCUCCGGCGGUGCAGGAUGAGCCCGCGGCCUAUCAGCUAGUUGGUGAGGUAAUGGCU